GGGUUGUGAGGUUAAGCGACUAAGCGUACACGGUGGAUGCCCUGGCAGUCAGAGGCGAUGAAGGACGUGCUAAUCUGCGAUAAGCGUCGGUAAGGUGAUAUGAACCGUUAUAACCGGCGAUUUCCGAAUGGGGAAACCCAGUGUGAUUCGUCACACUAUCAUUAACUGAAUCCAUAGGUUAAUGAGGCGAACCGGGGGAACUGAAACAUCUAAGUACCCCGAGGAAAAGAAAUCAACCGAGAUUCCCCCAGUAGCGGCGAGCGAACGGGGAGCAGCCCAGAGCCUGAAUCAGUGUGUGUGUUAGUGGAAGCGUCUGGAAAGGCGCGCGAUACAGGGUGACAGCCCCGUACACAAAAAUGCACAUAUUGUGAGCUCGAUGAGUAGGGCGGGACACGUGGUAUCCUGUCUGAAUAUGGGGGGACCAUCCUCCAAGGCUAAAUACUCCUGACUGACCGAUAGUGAACCAGUACCGUGAGGGAAAGGCGAAAAGAACCCCGGCGAGGGGAGUGAAAAAGAACCUGAAACCGUGUACGUACAAGCAGUGGGAGCCUCUUUAUGGGGUGACUGCGUACCUUUUGUAUAAUGGGUCAGCGACUUAUAUUCUGUAGCAAGGUUAACCGAAUAGGGGAGCCGAAGGGAAACCGAGUCUUAACUGGGCGUUAAGUUGCAGGGUAUAGACCCGAAACCCGGUGAUCUAGCCAUGGGCAGGUUGAAGGUUGGGUAACACUAACUGGAGGACCGAACCGACUAAUGUUGAAAAAUUAGCGGAUGACUUGUGGCUGGGGGUGAAAGGCCAAUCAAACCGGGAGAUAGCUGGUUCUCCCCGAAAGCUAUUUAGGUAGCGCCUCGUGAAUUCAUCUCCGGGGGUAGAGCACUGUUUCGGCAAGGGGGUCAUCCCGACUUACCAACCCGAUGCAAACUGCGAAUACCGGAGAAUGUUAUCACGGGAGACACACGGCGGGUGCUAACGUCCGUCGUGAAGAGGGAAACAACCCAGACCGCCAGCUAAGGUCCCAAAGUCAUGGUUAAGUGGGAAACGAUGUGGGAAGGCCCAGACAGCCAGGAUGUUGGCUUAGAAGCAGCCAUCAUUUAAAGAAAGCGUAAUAGCUCACUGGUCGAGUCGGCCUGCGCGGAAGAUGUAACGGGGCUAAACCAUGCACCGAAGCUGCGGCAGCGACGCUUAUGCGUUGUUGGGUAGGGGAGCGUUCUGUAAGCCUGCGAAGGUGUACUGUGAGGUAUGCUGGAGGUAUCAGAAGUGCGAAUGCUGACAUAAGUAACGAUAAAGCGGGUGAAAAGCCCGCUCGCCGGAAGACCAAGGGUUCCUGUCCAACGUUAAUCGGGGCAGGGUGAGUCGACCCCUAAGGCGAGGCCGAAAGGCGUAGUCGAUGGGAAACAGGUUAAUAUUCCUGUACUUGGUGUUACUGCGAAGGGGGGACGGAGAAGGCUAUGUUGGCCGGGCGACGGUUGUCCCGGUUUAAGCGUGUAGGCUGGUUUUCCAGGCAAAUCCGGAAAAUCAAGGCUGAGGCGUGAUGACGAGGCACUACGGUGCUGAAGCAACAAAUGCCCUGCUUCCAGGAAAAGCCUCUAAGCAUCAGGUAACAUCAAAUCGUACCCCAAACCGACACAGGUGGUCAGGUAGAGAAUACCAAGGCGCUUGAGAGAACUCGGGUGAAGGAACUAGGCAAAAUGGUGCCGUAACUUCGGGAGAAGGCACGCUGAUAUGUAGGUGAAGUCCCUCGCGGAUGGAGCUGAAAUCAGUCGAAGAUACCAGCUGGCUGCAACUGUUUAUUAAAAACACAGCACUGUGCAAACACGAAAGUGGACGUAUACGGUGUGACGCCUGCCCGGUGCCGGAAGGUUAAUUGAUGGGGUUAGCGGUAACGCGAAGCUCUUGAUCGAAGCCCCGGUAAACGGCGGCCGUAACUAUAACGGUCCUAAGGUAGCGAAAUUCCUUGUCGGGUAAGUUCCGACCUGCACGAAUGGCGUAAUGAUGGCCAGGCUGUCUCCACCCGAGACUCAGUGAAAUUGAACUCGCUGUGAAGAUGCAGUGUACCCGCGGCAAGACGGAAAGACCCCGUGAACCUUUACUAUAGCUUGACACUGAACAUUGAGCCUUGAUGUGUAGGAUAGGUGGGAGGCUUUGAAGUGUGGACGCCAGUCUGCAUGGAGCCGGCCUUGAAAUACCACCCUUUAAUGUUUGAUGUUCUAACGUUGACCCGUUAUCCGGGUUGCGGACAGUGUCUGGUGGGUAGUUUGACUGGGGCGGUCUCCUCCUAAAGAGUAACGGAGGAGCACGAAGGUUGGCUAAUCCUGGUCGGACAUCAGGAGGUUAGUGCAAUGGCAUAAGCCAGCUUGACUGCGAGCGUGACGGCGCGAGCAGGUGCGAAAGCAGGUCAUAGUGAUCCGGUGGUUCUGAAUGGAAGGGCCAUCGCUCAACGGAUAAAAGGUACUCCGGGGAUAACAGGCUGAUACCGCCCAAGAGUUCAUAUCGACGGCGGUGUUUGGCACCUCGAUGUCGGCUCAUCACAUCCUGGGGCUGAAGUAGGUCCCAAGGGUAUGGCUGUUCGCCAUUUAAAGUGGUACGCGAGCUGGGUUUAGAACGUCGUGAGACAGUUCGGUCCCUAUCUGCCGUGGGCGCUGGAGAACUGAGGGGGGCUGCUCCUAGUACGAGAGGACCGGAGUGGACGCAUCACUGGUGUUCGGGUUGUCAUGCCAAUGGCACUGCCCGGUAGCUAAAUGCGGAAGAGAUAAGUGCUGAAAGCAUCUAAGCACGAAACUUGCCCCGAGAUGAGUUCUCCCUGACUCCUUGAGAGUCCUGAAGGAACGUUGAAGACGACGACGUUGAUAGGCCGGGUGUGUAAGCGCAGCGAUGCGUUGAGCUAACCGGUACUAAUGAACCGUGAGGCUUAACCUUACAACGCCGAAG
rnacentral:rRNA from 1 species